GAACGCACCUUGCGCCCUUUGGCUAUUCCGAAGGGCAUGCCUGUUUGAGUAUCAUGAACAUCCUCAACUCCUCAUGGCUUGCCGUGAUGAGCUUUGGACUUUGGAGGUCUUUGCUGGCUUGUGGGUCAGCUCCUCUCAAAUGGAUCAGCUUACCAGUGUUCGGUGGCAUCACAGGUGUGAUAACUAUAUAUCUACGCUUGUGGCUUUCCGCUGGGUAACCUUCGUCACUGAAGGUUCACACUGGGGCUCAUAAAUGUCUCUCCUCAGUGAAGACAGCUCUUUGAACGUUUGAUCUCAAAUCAGGUAGGACUACCCGCUGAACUUAAG
rnacentral:misc_RNA from 1 species